rnacentral:rRNA from 1 species
GACGAACGCUGGCGGCGUGCUUAACACAUGCAAGUCGAACGGUGAAGCGCCUUCCUUUUUGGUGGGUGUGGAUGAGUGGCGAACGGGUGAGUAACACGUGAGUAACCUGCCCCCUUCUUCUGGAUAACCGCAUGAAAGUGUGGCUAAUACGGGAUAUUCUGGGUCUGUCGCAUGAUGGGUCUGGGAAAGAUAUUGUUUCGGUGGGGGAUGGGCUCGCGGCCUAUCAGCUUGUUGGUGGGGUGAUGGCCUACCAAGGCGGUGACGGGUAGCCGGCCUGAGAGGGUGGACGGUCACACUGGGACUGAGACACGGCCCAGACUCCUACGGGACGCAGCAGUGGGGAAUAUUGCACAAUGGGCGCAAGCCUGAUGCAGCGACGCCGCGUGAGGGAUGGAGGCCUUCGGGUUGUGAACCUCUUUCGCCAGUGAAGCAGGCCUGCCUCGUUUGUGGGUGGGUUGACGGUAGCUGGAUAAGAAGCGCCGGCUAACUACGUG